AGCGAACGCUGGCGGCAGGCUUAACACAUGCAAGUCGAGCGCCGUAGCAAUACGGAGCGGCAGACGGGUGAGUAACGCGUGGGAACGUACCCUUUGGUUCGGAAUAACUCAGGGAAACUUGAGCUAAUACCGGAUAAGCCCUUCUUGGGGAAAGAUUUAUCGCCGAAGGAUCGGCCCGCGUCCGAUUAGCUAGUUGGUGUGGUAACGGCGCACCAAGGCGACGAUCGGUAGCUGGUCUGAGAGGAUGAUCAGCCACACUGGGACUGAGACACGGCCCAGACUCCUACGGGAGGCAGCAGUGGGGAAUAUUGGACAAUGGGCGCAAGCCUGAUCCAGCCAUGCCGCGUGAGUGAUGAAGGCCCUAGGGUUGUAAAGCUCUUUCGGCGGGGACGAUAAUGACGGUACCCGCAGAAGAAGCCCCGGCUAACUUCGUGCCAGCCGCCGCGGUAAAAC
rnacentral:rRNA from 1 species